GAUGAACGCUGGCGGCGUGCCUAAUACAUGCAAGUCGAGCGAACGGACGAGAAGCUUGCUUCUCUGAUGUUAGCGGCGGACGGGUGAGUAACACGUGGAUAACCUACCUAUAAGACUGGGAUAACGUCGGGAAACCGGAGCUAACACCGGAUGAUAUGGUGAACGGCAUGGUUCAAAAGUGAAAGACGGUCUUGCUGUCACUUAUCGAUGUAUCCGCGCUGCAGUAGCUAGUUGGUACGGUAACGGCCUACCAAGGCAACGAUGCAUAGCCGACCUGAGAGGGUGAACGGCCACACUGGAACUGAGACACGGUCCAGACCCCUACGGGAGGCAGCCGGAGGGAAACUUUCGCAAUGGGGGACAACCUGACGGAGCCCCGCCGCGUGAGUGAAGAAGGUCUUCGGAUCGUAAAACUCUGUUAUUAGGGAAGAACAUCUGUGUAAGUAACUGUGCACAUCUUUACGGUACCUAAUCAGAAAGCCACGGCUUACUUCGUG
rnacentral:rRNA from 1 species